rnacentral:lncRNA from 1 species
GCUACCAGGCUCCGGGGAACUGGCGCCCUGGUGCCCCGCCGCGGCUGUCGCCCCUGGGGACUCCAGGCACCCCGGCCGAGGACGCCCUCGAGGGAAGCCCUGGGCCGCGUCCGUCGGGGGAGGCGCGAGGAAGACCGCCUUCUGGAGUGCGGGCUCCAGCGGCCCUGUCCGCGGCCCCGAGGCACCUCUGCCGAAAUUCGGGGGCGCCGUCCAGGCCUGGGCCCGGGGUGGCAGCAGCUGUUUCCAGGCGGGGAGCAGCGGGACUCGGCGGGAGCAGAGGCCGCUGGCCUAAGACGCCUCCUCGGUGGGUGCGCUCCCUGGAUUAACAGUGGCGCUGGCUGUCACACCGGCCGUUUCCCGAGCUCAGAGCGGGACAGUGCCCUGGGUUCCUAGGGCUGCUCGGCGGCCCUUAGCUGCGGCCCGGCGGGAUUCGGAUGGCUGGAGUUCAGGUGCUGCGGACUCUUGGCCGCUCCACCUGGUUUCAUUUGGAGGCCUCGGACUCAAGCCACUUCCGCGAGGAUGCUGGCAGAAGCCGCUGCGAGCAGCAAUCAAGGGGAGGCCCGGGUCCUACAGCGCCGGGCAGAGGCUGUGCAGUCUUCAAUCCAGUGGGGGCCGCUCCGUGUCUUUUCUGCUGGCUCUUGAGGGUCGCAGCUGUGCGCAGUCUGGCUCUCUGGUUUUGCACGUGUUUUCUAUUGAAGCAGUCCGUACUGCUGGCCCGUAUGGCCUCGGCUCUGUGCGGCUCCACUCGCCUCCGGGGCAAGGGGGCAUUUUCUUGAUUGACGCCCUCCUGCGGUCGUCACACCUCGCGGUGAGCCGUUUCUGCUAAGGUCCUCCAUUAAUCAUGGAAAUGGAAAGACUUCCCUGCUUUUUCUAUUGAGACUUCUCAGGUUUUAAAGUUUAUAAUUUGGAACUAUUUGUCCAAACACAGCGGGACCACAGUAGGAAGAGGCGUGGACUGUGAGCCUGACCGCCUGUUCGAGUUUCACUUCGCACAUUUUUGUUGAGCAACUACUGUGUGCCAGCAGUGAAAAGGACAGAUGUAGUCCCUCUCCUCAUGGAGACAGGAAACAAAUUUUAAUAUAUGUAUGUGCUAGGAAGGAGAUGUACAUAAUGGUCUAAAACCUGUAACAAGGGGACAUCACCUAUCUGGGGGACAUUAAGGAAGGGAAAAGCUUCCCAAGAAUUGAUGUUUGAAAAGUGAGUGGGUGUCAGCAAGCCCAGGGUGCUUGGACAUUCCAAGUCCGGAGAAUAGCAUGUGAGCGUUGUUAGUUAAUGCAACUUCCGUCAAGUCACCAUCCCUGAGUUUUUCUCAUCUGAAACGUUUGAGACUUGGCCUAAAGGCUCCUGAUCUUUUUAGGGUAUUGUUAAUAGGUAUCUUUCAGAAUCUAAUGACAGACAAGAGCUACAAGCCCAGACAAACUCAGAAGUGUACUACACUAUCAUUCGAGUUAAAGCAUGUUGGGGGUAGGUAAGAAUAUAAUUGCUCUAUUAUACAGUACAUAUAAAUCAUAAAUUUUUAUAUUACUCCAUGAUAUAAACUAUCUCUGGAAGGAUAACGAACAUUGGCUGACUAUGAAGAAAGGGGUGGGAUUGGAGGGGGCAUGUAUAGCUGUGAAUAUCUGGAGACUUGCACUAGAUGGAUGUAUGACCUAUUCGUCGUAUAAGUAAGUCCUUGAAGAAGUGGCUGAUUCUAGAUCUAGGGCAAGAAAAGUACAAGGUAAGCUCAAAGACAUCUUGUGUCAGAAACCGUGAAAAGAAAAUAGGGACCACCUUGGAGUGGUUUCCAUCGGCAAAAUUUGGGGUGAUUUAAGCUUUAAAAAUACAUUAGGGAUUAUACCACUUUGAAUAUAACAAUUCGUGAGUCCAUAGUGGUACUCAGAGAGAGAAAGGUGCAGUGGAUGUGAAAGCUGGAAGAAUGUCAGCUAACAGAUGUAGAAAAAUUGGUACAAUCGAAAAACGUAAUAAUUCAAGAAGAAUCAUCAUCAACUAACACGUGAAAUGUUGAGGAUGAGGAUUUUCACAAGGCCUCAUAUCAUCCCAAUUAACUGGAUUCUGGAUUUUAAAAAACUAUAAAGGAGCCGGGCGCGGUGGCUUACGCCUGUAAUCCCAGCACUUUCGGAGGCAGAGGCGGACGGAUCACGAGGUCAGGAGAUCGAGACCAUCCUGGCUAACACGGUGAAACCCCGUCUCUACUAAAAAUACAAAAAAUUAGCCAGGCGUGGUGGUGGGCGCCUGUAGUCUCAGCUACUCAGGAGGCUGAGGCAGGAGAAUGGCGUGAACCCGGGAGGCGGAGCUUGCAGUGAGCCGAGAUCGCCCCACUGCACUCUAGCCUGGGUGACAGAGCCAGACUCUGUCUCAAAAAAAAAAAAAAAAAAAAAACUAUAAAAGACAUUGCUUUUUAUUGGGGGGGGGGAUAAUGGGGACAAACUAUGAAGUAUAUGUUAGUUGACAUUAUUAAUCUUUUAGAUGUGAUUGGUAUUGCAGGUUACUUUGGAAAAUGCGAUCUUGGGAGUUGCAAGCUAAAGUCUUUAGGAGUGAUGGGUCAUAUGUGCAGCUUACUUUUAAAUACUUCAGUAUAUACAUAUAUGUGCAUACACAUCUACAUGUAUAUUUAUACACACAUAUCUAUGUAUAUGUUCAUAUAUGUAUAUAUAAAGAGGGAUAUAUCACAGGUUCAGUUCUAGACCACUUCAAUAAAUAAACAUAGCAAUAAAGCAAGUCACAUGAAUUAUUUGGUUUCCCAGUGCAUGUAAAGGAGGUUAUCUUUACACUUUACUACAUUCAGUGUGCAAUGGCAUUAUGUCUUAAAAAGCAACGUACAUACCUUAAUUUAAAAAUACUUUGUUACUAAAAAAUUGCUAACGAUUGGCAGGGAGUGGUAGCUCAUGCCUGUAAUCCUAGCACUUUGGGAGGCCAAGGCUGGCGGAUCACUUGAGGUCAUGAGUUGAAGACCGGCCUGCCAAUAUGGUAAAACCCUGUAUCUACUAAAAAUACAAAAAUUAGCUGGAAAGUGCUUGAACCCGGGAGGCAGAGGUUGCAGUGAGCUGAGAUCAUGCCACUACACUACCAGCCUGGGCAAUAGAGUGAGACUCCAUCUCAAAAAAAAAAAAUUGCUGACAAUCAUCUGAGCCUUCAGCAAGUCAUAAUCUUUUUGCUUUUGAGGGGUGUUGCCUUGAUGUGGAUGAGUGCUAACUGAUCAGGGUGGGAGGCACAGAAGGUUGGGGUGGCUGUGGCAAUUCCUUAAAGACAACCAUGAAGUUUGCCACAUCUGUUGACCCCUCCGUUCAUAAAAGAUUUCUCUGUAGCAUGUGGUGAUGUUUGAUAGCAUUUUUAUCCACAGUAGAACUUUCAAAAUUGGAGUUCAUUUUCUCAAACCCUGUGCUGCUCUAUCAAGUAUGGUUGUGUAAUAGUCUCUCUUUUUUGUCCUUUUUUUUUUUUCUUUUUUCCUUUUUGUAGAGAAUGGAGUCUCGCUCCAUUCAUUGCCCAGGCAUGUCUCGAUCUACCGGGCUCAAGCUAUGCUCCUGCCUCUGCCUCCCUAAAUGUUGGGAUUACAGGCAUGAGCCAUUACAUCCAGCUAUGUAAUAUUCUAAAUCCUUUGUUGUCAUUUCAAUAAUGUUCACAGCAUAUUCACCAGAAGUAGAUUCCAUCUCAAAAAACCACUUUCUUUGCUCAUCCAUAAGAAGUAACUCCUCAUCCAUUCAAGUUGUAUCAUGAGAUUGCAGCAAUUCAGUCACAUCUUCAGGCUCCACUUCUAUUUCUCUUGCUGUUUCCAGCACAUAUGCAAUUACUUUCUCCACUGAAAUCUUGAACCCCUCAAAGUCAUCUGUGAGGGCUGGAAUCAACUUCUUCCAAACUUCUGUUAAUGAUAUUUUUACCUCCUCCCAUGAAUCAUGGCCUCUGGAAUGGUGAAUCCUUUCUGGAAGGGUUUUACUUGACUUUGCCCACAGAGGAAUCACUAUCUAUGGCAGCUAUAGCCUUACAAAAUAUAUUUCUUAAAUAAUAAGAUUUGAAAAUCAAAAUCACUCUUUGAUUCAUGGGCUGCAGAAUGGAUGUUGUGUUAGCAAGCAUGAAAACAACAUUCAUCUCUUUGUAUAUCUCCAUCAUAGCUCUUGGGUGACCAGGUGCAUUGUCAAUGAUCAGUAAUAAUUUGAAAGGCAUAUUUUUUUCCUGGGCAGUAGAUCUCAACAGUAGGCUUAAAGUGUUCAGUAAACCACACAGUAAAAUGAUGUGCUGCCAUCCAGGCUUUGUUAUUUUAUUUAUAGGGCACAGGCAGAGUAGAUGUAGCAUAGUUCUUAAGGGCCCUAGGAUUUUCAGAAUGGCCAAUAAGCAUUGCUUUAAACUUAAAUGUCAGCUGCAUUAGCACCUAACAAGAGAGUCAGACUGUCCUUUGAAACUCUGAAGCCAGCAUUGACUUCUCACUAGCUAUGAAAGUCCUAGAUGGCAUCUUCUUCCAAUAGAAGGCUUUUUGGUCUACGUGUAGAAUCAGUUUAGUGUAGCUACGUUCAUCAAUGAUCUUAGCUAGAUCUUCUGGGUAACUUGCUGCACCUUUUCUAUUAACAUUUUCUGCUUCACUUUGCACUUAUGGUGAUGGCCUCCUUCCUUAAACCUCGUGAACCAACCUCAUCUAACAUCCACCGUUUCUUCUGCAGCUUCCUCACCUUUCUCAGCCUUCAUAGAAUUGAAGAGAGUUGGGGCCUUGCUCUGGAUUAGGCUUUCGUGUAAGGGAAUGUUGUGGCUGGUUAGAUCUUCUAUCCAGACCACUUGCACUUUCUCCAGAUCAUCAAUAAGGCUGUUUCACUUUUUAGCAUUCAUUUGUUCAUUGGAGUACCACCUUAAAUUUCCUUCAAGAACUCUUCCUUUGUGUUCACAGCGCUGUCUAACUUUUAGUGGAUCUUAACUUUCUACAUGGCCUCCUUGCUGAGCUUAAUCAUUUCUGGCUUUUGAUUGAAAGAGACAUGCAAUUCUUGCUUUUCCUUGAACACUUAGGGGCUGUUGUAGGGUUAUUAAUUUGCCCAAUUUCAAUAUUGUUGUCUCUCAAGGAAUAAGGAGGCCCAAGGAGAGAAGGAAAGAGACUGGGGAACAGCCUGUGAGUAGGACAGUCAGAACACACGACAUUUAUUAAGUUAGCUGUCUUAUAUGGGUGCAGUUUGUGGUGCCCCAAAACGAUUACAAUAGUAACAUCAAAGACCACUGAUCACAGAUCAUCAUUACAGAUAUAACAAUAAAUAUUAUGAGAAUUACCCAAAUGUGACACAAAGACAUGAAGUGGGCACAUGUUCUUGGGAAAAUGGUGCCAAUAGACUUGCUUGAUGCAGGGGCGUCACAAACCUUCAAUUUGUAAAAACUGCAAUAUCUGCAAAGCACAAUGAAGUGAAGCACAAUAAAAUGAGGUAUGCCUGUAUCGAAAAUUAUUAAUUGGUGAAUUUAGGUGAAGAGUAUACAGGUGUUUGUUGUACUAUAAUUUCAGAGUAUACAAGUAUUUGUUGUACUCUAAUUUUAGCUUUUUUAUAAUUACACAUAGCAAUUAAAUUACCAUAAUUCCUGUAGAUUUGAAAGUUUUCAAUAUAAAAAUGAGAAAAAAUGAAAACACUGUUUCUUUUUUUAAUCUCAAAUUCCUUUUUACCAUACUUUUUUUGUGUGUGUGUGUGAGACGGAUUCUUGCUCUGUCGCCCAGGCUGGAGUGCAGUGGCAUGAUCUUGGCUCAUUGCAAGCUCCUCCUCCUGGAUUCACGCCAUUCUCCUGCCUCAGCCUCCCGAGUAGUUGGGACUACAGGCGCCUGCCACCACACCCGGCUAAUUUUUUUGUAUUUUUAGUAGACAGUGGUUUCACCAUAUUAGCCAGGAUGGUCUCGAUCUCCUGACCUUGUGAUCUGCCCAUCUUGGCCUCCCAAAGUGCUGGGAUUACAGGCAUGAGCCACCGCGCCCGGCCUACCAUCCAUUUUUUUUAAAGGCAUAAUGUUUUGAAUGAUUUCUGAAGAUUGCAUACAAUUUCAGGUAGUGCCUUGCCCCUGGAAACUAUCAGUGAAGGGUUAUUUGGGAAUCAUUGAUCCCUCUGUGGGUCAGCUCCAGUGUUGUGCCAUCUCCACCGUCAUCAUUCUCAUCCCAUGGCCUGAUGAAUUCAAUGUGCUCUUCUGUGUUCCAAGGACAGAGACAAGCUCUGGGGACAAAGAAAGAACAGUUAUUAUAUGAAGUUCAAACCUACCUUCACAAGUUAUGUUUGGGUCUUGAAAGAUUGGGACCUCAGUAAACUAAGCAGAAAACUGUGCUAAUUAUUUUUCUCACAAAAUGUUUCCCCUUUGUUUUCAUUGUGCACCUUUUUCCUGCCCCUUCUACUCUGCGAGUAACAGAUGAUGACUCCAAUUCAUUUAGUGCUUUCACAGUAAAUCACUAGCCAGCCUUUAUUACCCAUCUUCAGAAACAGUAUUAGUUUAUGGUACUGGUUUAUUCUGUGCAUGAUUCAGCCACCAGCCAAAAGAUCUAAAUCUACAAAUAUUUUAAAUAUAUAUAUUAAAAUGCUAGGGAAAUAAUCACUAGCAUAGAGUUAUUAAAUAAUCACUAAUAAAAGAAGCAUCCUCUCUUUCUUUGAUUUAGCCACAGAUCCUGGGAAGUAGAUGGAGAUCUUAAAAGGCAUUGGUAAAACAUUCCAACUCAGCUACAUAAUCCUCACUGGCAAACUGAAGCACUUAAUUCUGUUAAGCUAUAUAACACUACCUUUUCUACAUCCAAUCGUCAGAUCCAUGUUCACUUAGCUAAAGUUAAAAAAAAAAAUUACAACCACAUUUGUGAAUGUCACAUUUAUUGAACUACAUAAUUUUUAAUAUCACUUGUGUACGUUUUAUAGUUUGUUUUAUUGUUUUAAAAGUCAUUUGGGGCCCUAAAAGAACUAGAUUUUUCCAAAGUUGUCCUUAUGAUUUUUUUUCGCACAGUCAGAACUAAUAAAACAAAACUGUUGUAGCUAUUUAAUUCAAAAUCUCUCGGAGUUUCAAUAUUUUUUCUCUGCUGGAUACUAAAACCAAUAAAGCUCCAUGAGAUUUUAAUUAUAUUCUGAAUUAAACAAGACUUUCUCCAAAAAUUUGGCCCCAUUUAUUUUAGCCAUUGCUGUUGUGCAAAAGACCAAAUUUGUAAGAAGAGAAGGUAGUUCUCAUUUGUAAUUUAUCUAGAAGGAAUUUAGGUAAACUUUUUGCAACUUACUUUUAAUAAAUGUAUGUAGAGGUAAAAAUUCAAGUUAGCUAUAGCUUGAAAGCAUCAAUGGAUUUUAUUAUAACAACUUGGUUCUAUUUAUACUUACACUAAGUUUUAUUGUCUUCAACUGUUGGGAUGACUAAAUCAUUUAUUAAAUUUCAUAUCAAAUCAUAUAUUUUUCAAAUAUUUGAGAAAAUCUAAUUAGUGCUUUAGUGGUUUACUAACUUACAAAAUACUAAUCUGAUCAAAUAGAGAUGCCUCAUCCCCAUCAUAAAUGGAAUCAGAGCCCAGAAAUACAUAAGCAGUAGGCAUCAUGACAUUGCUUCAGUGACGUUCUUUUUCCAAAUUUUUUUUUUUUUUUUUUGAGAUGGAGUCUUGCUGGAGUGCAAUGGCGUGAUCUCAGCUCACUGAAACCUCCACCUCCUGCAUUCAAGCAAUUCUCCUGCCUCAGCCUCCCAAGUAGCUGGGAUUACAGGUACCUGCCACCACACCUGGCUAAUUUUUGUAUUUUUAGUAGAGACGGGGUUUCACCAUGUUGGCCAGGCUAGUCUUGAACACCUGGCCUCAGGUGAUCCACUGGCCUCAGCCUCCCAAAGUGCUGGAAUUACCCACAUGAGCCACCACACCUGGCCUUUUUCCACAUUUUACAUACUACAAGGUGCCUCACAUACCACUGUCAUGUGGGUGAAUUUUACUGACCAUGGAGCUUUAGGUAGAGCUUUAGGUAACUGCUCAAUUUAAAAAGUGAUGAUGAAUUCAAUAAUAAAAAGAGCACCCAAUUCUUUAAAUGAGCUAAAGGUCUGAAUAGAUAUUUCUCCAAAGAAGUUAUACAAAUAGCCAAUAAGCACAUGAGAAGAUGUUCAACAUCAUUAGUCAUCAGGGAAAUGCAAAUCAAAACCACAAUGAGAUACCACUUCACACCCACUAGGAUAGCUAUAAUAAUUUUAAAAACACAAGUGUUGGUGAGGAUGUGGAGAUUUAGAACCCCCCCAUGCUUUGCUAAUCGCAAUGUAAAAUGAAGCGGCAGCUUUGAAAAGCAGUCUGGCAAUGCCUGAAAAGUUUAAACAAAGUUACCACAUGACCCAAUGAUUCUACCCUUGGGUAUAUUCCCACAAAAUGAAAACAUAUGUCCACACAAAAACUUGUUCACAAAUGUUCACAGCAGAAUUAUUUAUGAUAGCCAAAAAGUGGAAACAACCCAAAUGUCCCUCAGAUGAUGAAGGGGUAUGUUAAAAGUGGUAUAUCCAUACAAUGGAAUAUUAUUUGGUAAUAAAAAGAUACAUCUGAUACAUGGAUGAACUUUGAAAACAUUUAUCUUCAAAAGAAGUCAGACGCAAAAGCCCACAGAUUGUAUGUAUCUUUCAAGCUUGUCCAGCCCAUGGCCAUGGGUCUCAUGUGGCCCAGGAUGGCUUUGAAUGUAGUCCAUCACAGAUUCGUAAACUUUCUUAAAACAUUAUGAGAUUUUUUGUGAUUUUUUUUUUUUUUAGCUCAUUAGCAAUCUUUAGUGUUAGUGUAUUUUAGUGUGGCCCAAGACAGUUCUUCUUCCAGUGUGGCCCAGGGAAGCCAAAAGAUUGGACACCCCUGCUGUAUAUGAAAUGUCCAGAAUAGGCAAAUCUGUAGAAAUGAAAAGUGGAAUAGUAGUUGCCAAGGCUGGGGAACUUGGGGAUAAAUGAAGGGUGACUGCUGGUGGGUACAGGGUUUCUUUCUGGAGUGAUGAAAAUGUUCUAACAGUUAUUGUGGUGGUUGUUACGCAACUUUGUGAAUAGCUUUAAAAAAACUUUUUUUUUUUUUUGAGACAAGGCGGAGUUCACUCUAUUACCCAGGCUGGAAUGCAGUGGUGCGAUCUUGGCUCACUGAAACCUCUACCUCCCAGAUUCAAGUGAUUCUCCUGCCUCAGCCUCCCAAGUAGCUGGGAUUACUGGCGUGUGCUACCACACCCAACUAAUUUUUAUAUUUUUAGUAGAGACGGGGUUUCACCAUCUUGCCCAGGCUGGUCUCGAACUCCUAACCUCAGGUAAUCCACCCACCUCGGCCUCCCAAAGUGCUGGGAGUACAGGUGUGAGCCACCACACCCGGCCAAAAAAAACUUUAAAUGGGUAAAUUUUAUGAUAUGUGAAUUACACCUCAAUACAACUGUGUAGGUUUGGUUUUUUGGUUUUUUUUUUUGAGACGGAGUCUCGCUCUGUUGCCCAUGCUGGAGUGCAGUGGCACGAUCUCGGCUCACUGCAAGCUCCACCUCCCGGGUUCACGCCAUUCUCCUGCCUCAGCCUCCCGAGUAGCUAGGACUACAGGCACCCGCCACCAUGCCCGGCUAAUUUUUUGUAUUUUUAGUAGAGACGGAGUUUCACUGUAUUAGCCAGGAUGGUCUCGAUCUCUUGACCUCGUAAUCCGCCCGCCUCGGCCUCCCAAAGUGCUGGGAUUACAGGCAUGAGCCACCGCGCCCAGCCUGUUUUAUUUUUUGAGACAGAAUCUCUCUCUGUCACCCAGGCUGGAGUGCAGUGGCGUGAUCUCAGCUCACUGCAACCUCCGCCUCCCGGGUUCGAGUGAUUCUCCUGCCUCAGCCUCCAGAGUAGCUGGGAUUACAGGUGCCCACCACCAUGCCCGGCUAAUUUUUGUAUUUUUAGUAGAGAUGGGGUUUCACCACAUUGGCCAGGCUGGUCUCCAACUCCUGACCUCAGGUGAUCCACCAGCCUCAGCCUCCCAAAGUGCUGGGAUUACAAGCACAAGCCACCUUGCCCGGCCAUUUUUUGUUUUUUGAGACAGGAUCUCUCUCUGUUGCCCAGGCUGGAGUGCAGUGGUGUGAUCUCGACUCACUGCAACCUCCGCCUCCUGGGUUCAAGCGAUUCUCCUGCCUCAGCCUCCUGAGUAGCUGGGAUUACAGGCACGUGCCACCACAGCCCGGCUAGUUUUUGUAUUUUUAGUAGAGAUGCGGUUUCACCAUAUUGGUCAGGCUGGUCUCGAACUCCCGACCUCAGGUGAUCCGCCAGCUUCAGCCUCCCAAAGUGCUGGGAUUAGAGGUGUGAGCCACCACACCUGGCCAGUACUAUUAAUCUCAAUGAUAAACCAGGACUCAUGCUGUCUGGACCACGGACACCUCUAUUCAAGAGGAGCAGCCUGUUCCUCUUGAUCCUGUGCCUCUUAAUUUGCAUGUUUUUCACCAACCAGGUGCCCUUCUCAUCAGCACCGAGAAAGUAGGGGAAGAGGGACUUACUGCCAGAGAACUCAAAGUCUAUUGGAAAACCUGAAAGCCAGUCCAAAUUCUGUCCCUGUUUUUAAAAUUUUCACAACGUCCUCUCAGAUCAUAUGGCCACAAAAUUCCACCAUCCUUCACUUUAAGGAGCACUGUAAAGAUUCUAUUUUGAGAGAAGGAAAAGGCAACAAAAUGUUGUGAUGCGACAUUUUGAAGUCGCAAGACCUGUGUUCUGCAGGGCUGUCAGAGAGAGCUUGGUUCAGACAGAGGUGGAAGGGAAGUAGUGUGGACUUUCUAAGUGUGGGGAUCUAUGAGAGCUGAGGAUGGCCGCCUCCUAGAGAAACAGAAGCUUCAUGGUAAAGACAUUGUGAAUUAACCUACAGGAACUCACUCUCCCGUUCCACAAGGACUUCAUCUCAGUUCAAACAUAAGCUGGCUUCCUGAGGACACGUUUCCCCCAGACGUGAAAUGGGCCUGAAACACUGAAUUAUUUAAGAUUGGCUUAUCGCUGGCUGGGCAUGGUGGCUCAUGCCUGUAAUCCCAGCACUUUGGGAGGCUGAGGUGGGUGGAUCACGAGGUCAGGAGUUCAGGACCAGCCUGGCCAACAUGGUGGAACCCCAUCUCUACUCAAAAUAAAAAAAUUAGCUGGGCAUGGUGGCACGCACCUGUAAUCCCAGCUACUUGGGAGGCUGAGGCAGGAGAAUGUCUUGAAGCCGGGAGGUGGAGGUUGUGGUGAGCCGAGAUCGUGCCACUGCACUCCAGCCUGGGUGAUAGAGCGAGACUCCAUCUCAAAAAAAAAAAAAAUGCUUAUUGAAGAAGUCUGAGGUCAUUCGGAGAGGUGUGAGAGUGGUAGGAGAGAUUGCCCACGCCAAGGUUUGACCCAAAAAAGAACUCCCUGACUGAAGUUACAGGCCUCACCAGAAACUGAUAACAUUGGUUGCUCAAAAGGGGGAAGCUAGUUGGUGGUGUAGACAUAGUGGUGGAGAGGGGCAGGGGAGAAUGAAAUGGGAAGUGGCUUUAUGCUGCCAUUUUUGUACUUUUUGAAUUUUGAACCCGGUUUCUAAAAAGUGUCUGGCAUAUAGUAGCUGCAAUAGAUAUUUUUGAAAAGCUGAAUGAAUGGAGUCAAAUAAACGUGAUUGUUUAAAACUUUUAGUUUCAGAGGUACAUGUACAGGUUGGUUCUAUAGAUAAAUCACAUGUUGCAGGGGUUUGGUGUACAUAUUAUUUUGUCACCCAAGUAAUAAGCAUAGAACUCUUUUGGGAGUUUUUCAAUCCUCACCCUCCUCCUACCCUCCACCUUCAAUUAGGCCCUGGCAUCUAUUGCUCCCUUCUUUAUCUCAAUGUUCAGCUCCUACUGAUAAGUGAAAACAUGUGGUGUUUGCUUUUCUGAUCCUGCAUUAGUUUGCUUAGGGUAAUGGCCUCCAUCUCCAUCCAUGUUGCUGCAAAGAACAUAAUCUCAUUCUUUUUUAUGGCUGUGUACUAUUCCAUGGUGUAUAUGUACCACAUUUUCUUUAUCCAGUCUACUUAGGAUGGACAUUUGGAUUGAUUCCUUGUCUUUGCUAUGGUGAAUAGUGCUGCAACAAACAUGCAAGUGCAUGUGUCUUUAUGGUAGAAUGAGUUCUAUUUAUUUGAGUAUAUACCCAAUAAUGGGUCAAAUGCAAACAUGAUUUUGAAUUCAAGUCCCACCAAUUUUACUGUGUGCUUUGAUUAGUUUCCUCUUUUUUUUUUUUUUUUUUUGAGAUAGAGUCUCACUCUGUCGCCCAGGCUGGAGUGCAGUGGUGUGAUCUUGGCUCACUGAAACCUCUGCCUCCCAGGUUCAAGCGAUUCUCCUGCCUCAGCCUCCCGAGUAGCUGGGACUACAGGCGUGUGCCAACACGCCCAGCCAAUUUUUUGUAUUUUUAGUAGAGACGAGGUUUCACCAUAUUGGUCAGGCUGGUCUUGAACUCCUGACCUUGAGAUCUGCCCGCCUCACCCUCCCAAAGUGCUAGGAUUACAAGUGUGAGCCACCAAGCCCGGCCUGAUUAGUUUCUUAACUUCUUCGAGCCCCAGUGUCCUUUAAGUAGCAUAGGGAUGGUAAUAUCUUUCUCAUAAUAGUAUUGUGAUGAUAAAAUGAGUUGUUGCAUGUCAAUCACUGGCAUAGAGUAAGCACUUAAUAAAUGGUGGUUGCCAUGGUAAUGAUAAUAAUGAUAAUACCAAUGACAACUACAAUAAUGAUAAUGGAGAAAAGUAGCUCAAGGGGCUCUUCUAAUUCUUUUAUGGUAAACUAGAGCAUUUCUCUAGCAAAUAUUACUUGAAAUAAAUGUGCCUUGUCUGGAUUUUGGAAAUCUGUUAUUAUAGGGAGAUUUUCAGUUAGAAAUUUAUCCAGGGUCUAUCAUACUAGAUAUAAAUAUCUAGUGGAGAAUAUAAAUAUUAAUAGGACAAGGCUCCUGCCCUCAAAGAGCUUUGUUAUAAUGGUAUUGGUAAAUGAAUGUCCUGAGAAGCUCCAGACUAUCUGAUUUUUGUUGUUGUUAUUGUAGUGGAUUUAAUUAUAAUGAACAUAUAACAUGAAGAUUCAAGAGCUGGAAAUUCAAUGAAUCUAAUACUCUAGAUUCUGUAGUCACUAGUGUGGCAAUGCGCCAAAUAUCACAUGGACAAUAUUCUCAUCUUCUUACCUUUGCUUAGUAUCUGAAUUUUUUGUACAGUGUUUAUAUAUAUAUUCCUUAGCAUCUGAAUUUUUUAUACAGUGUUUAUAUAUAUAUUCCUGAAUAUAGAAGGUAGUGUUACCCAGUAGUUAAAAGUAUGGACUUUUCUCUAAACUUCCUAACUCUGUGAUGUUGGGCAAGGCAUUUACUCUUUCUCAGCAUGUGUUGUUUUAUUGUUUUGUUUUGAGUUUAGCCUUUUUAAAAAAAGGCCGGCUAAUAAUCACACUCAUAUCAUAUGGUUUUAAAAUGUUUAGCACUAUGCCUGACCCAGUAAGUUCUCUACUUCCUUCUGUUUGAGGAGAGUAGAAUAAAUUUUGCCUGGUUGCAGAAAAAUAGCUGUAGAAAAAACUAGUUCAGGCCAGGCAUGGUGGCUGAUGCCUGUAAUCCCAGCAAUUUGGGAGGCUGAAGCAGGAGGAUCUUUGGAGCUCAGAAGUUCAAGACUAGCCUGGGCAACAUGGUGAAACCCCAUCUCUACAAAAACAAAAACAAACAAAAAAAAACCGAAAACCUUAGUUCAGCCCAUCUUUCCUUCUCCCAUGUUUAAGGGGGAACAAUUUUUUGGUUGAUUGAUUUUUUAACUUCAUAAAUUAUGCAAAUGCUAUGAGUUGAAUGUAUCCCACAAAGUUUUGUGUUGUAAAUGUAAUCCCUAAUGCAACAGUGUUGAGAGAUGGGAUGUGGGGCUGGAGGAGCGGACGGGCCCCGCGGGGCCCGAGGGCAAGGAGCAGCCGCCUGCCUUGGCCUCCCAAAGUGCCGAGAUUGCAGCCUCUGCCCGGCUGCCACCCCGUCUGGGAAGUGAGGAGUGUCUCUGCCUGGCCGCCCAUCGUCUGGGAUGUGAGGAGCCCCUCUGCCUGGCUGCCCAGUCUGGAAAGUGAGGAGCGUCUCCGC